AAGCGGUGAGCAUGUGGUUAAUUCGAAGCAACGCGAAGAACCUUACCAGGGCUUGACAUCCCCUGACCGCGUAUGAAAGUACGUUUUCACCCUCGGGUGACAGGGAGACAGGUGGUGCAUGGUUGUCGUCAGCUCGUGUCGUGAGAUGUUGGGUUAAGUCCCGCAACGAGCGCAACCCCUACGUUUAGUUGCUAACGCGUGAAGGCGAGCACUCUAGACGAACUGCCGUUGACAAAACGGAGGAAGGUGGGAUGACGUCAAAUCAUCAUGCCCCUUAUGUUCUGGGCUACACACGUGCUACAAUGGCCGGUACAGACGGACGCAAAGCCGCGAGGUGGAGCAAAUCCUAAAAAGCCGGUCUCAGUUCGGAUUGCAGGCUGCAAUUCGCCUGCAUGAAGUCGGAAUCGCUAGUAAUCGCAGGUCAGCAUACUGCGGUGAAUACGUUCCCGGGCCUU
rnacentral:rRNA from 1 species